GGGCAUAUUUUUAGACACAUGCCGAAUACUAAGGUAAUUGAGUGGAAAUUUAAGAAUGUUGGCAAAAUCAAGUGUUGCUAAAUACUGUAUUAUGCUUGAGGAGGAAAUAAGACUCGUUUACAACACAUUCAUGAGAAAGAGAAGAAAGGGAAAUUAGUAGUCCAAGUUCUUGAUGCCAAAGGACUAACUUUUAGUUUUCAGUUGCUGAAUUCCGUUCCAAAUAUGAGCUACUGAUGCUGUUUAUGGAUCUGCCUCCUUGAUAUCGUUCUUUGCUGCUACAUGUUCUUGUCCAUUCCUUGCUUCAAUGAUUUUACAAUUGCUUGAGGAGCUGCUAUUAUUACACCGACUAUAGCAGCUGGUUGCUGCUGCCUGCACUGAUUUUAGUAGCUUCUAGCUGCUCUGUUUGGGAGUUAGUUUACUGCCUUAAAAAUUGCAGCUUCAAUUUGGUGAAUUAAGGCUGCCAAUUGGGGACUUCUUUGACACAAUCAGUCAAGAAGGGAGAAGCAAGAAAGAGACUAAAAAUGGUUGAUGCCUUCAUAGUUUGCCUCAAGCUGUUACAAGACUUGUUCCCACCAAUUAUUGUUGCCACAUGUUUGCAAAUUGCUCCAACAUGGGUUGCAAAAUAUUUAUAUAAUUGCAUAGAUUGUUUCAAAUGUUGCUUGUUGUAAACAACAUUUAGUCACUGCCAUUUGAGCUCAAUGUGUGAUACUUAAUUUGUUGGUGUCUUGUUUCAGAUUGGUGCAAACACCUCGUACUUCCCUGCAAAUCAAGCUAGCAGCAAAAAAAGUUCAUCUUUCUCGGUAACCAACACUGCCAAAGAAGCUCAGAUUCACUGAGGAACCUGUAGCAGUAAGAAUCUAUCCACAAAAGAUAUACAAUUUUUAAUUGCUUUUGAAAGCAGUUUAAGGGAGAUGAAGCUCAUCAUUCAGUUACAAACACCAAGCAGAAGGAACAUGUUUCAGGUAACAUAUCUAACAAGCAUCCAUCUAUAAACAUCCAAGGCUUUAUUUAGUAGCAUUUUCUAGUAAGAGAAAACUACUGAAAACAUAUAUUCUUAGUCCAUGUAGAAAUCCCUAUAUCUGAGCAAUGAAACAAAUAAACAUGGCAAAUUAUUUUUAUAUAUAUGGUUGAUGGUAAAACUAUAACACAGAACUUACUCCCAAUUCAAACUCUUUGUACUUUUUCCCCUGCUGAACAAAUGCUUUAGAAAAUAUAGUGCUUUGUCCUUCAUGACAUGAUUGAAUAUUCCUCAAUCAAUGCUUUUUUUUUUUUAAAAGCUAAGUUCUUGACUUGACUCAACUUGUUUGAGAAUGAGAUAUUUUAUUAUAAUGAUAUGACCACAACUGCAUGCUGAUAAUUUUGAUCAUAGGCAUCUGGGAAUUCUGUAAAGUUGGGAGCUAUUUUGGGUCUUAGAUUAUUGGGUAUUUGUAGUAAUAGAAGUGAUACUCGAGAAUACCUCUAUAUGUAUAUAGUUGAGGUAAUGUCAUCAAUCUCUGAACUUUCUCUUGCUUUUCGAUGUUAAGUUUAAAAGCCAUGAAGUUGGUUAUGCAACCAGGGAACCUACAAAGAGCUCUGUCUCAAAAGAUAGGGAGUUCUGUGACAUGUGUUGGAUAGAAAUUUUCUUUACAUCCAACUAUGAAGUCUCGAAUUCUAUUAUCUUAUAAUUCAAGCUUUGUACUUCGGAAGAAUCUUUAUGUUGUUGUAAUCAUAGUUCUGACAUUUCUAGUUC